UGCUUGUCUCAAAGAUUAAGCCAUGCAUGUCUAAGUACACAUUCUUGAAAAAUGAAACCGCGAAUGGCUCAUUAAAUCAGCUAUGGUUCCUUGGAUCAUAUUAUCCUUAAUUGGAUAACUGUAGUAAUUCUAGAGCUAAUACAUGCCUCGAAGCCUUGACCUCACGGGAUGGGCGCACUUAUUAGAUCAAAAUCAAUCGGGUUUCGGCCUGCGAUUUUGAUGACUCUGGAUAAUCUUACACUACAGAAUCGCACGACCUCGUGUCGGCGAUAGAUCCUUCAAAUGUCUGCCCUAUCAACUAGAUGGUAAGUAAAUUGCUUACCAUGGUGAUAACGGGUAACGGGGAAUCAGGGUUCGAUUCCGGAGAGGGAGCCUGAGAAAUAGCUACCACAUCCAAGGAAGGCAGCAGGCA
rnacentral:rRNA from 1 species